GCGGUCGUGGUGGAAUUGGCAGACACGCCAGCUUGAGGGGCUGGUGGGGGCAACCUCGUGAGAGUUCGAGUCUCUCCGACCGCACCA
rnacentral:tRNA from 1 species